CACACGCUGUGGGAACACUGGCCGGCUGCUCUUGGAGAAGAUGCACAUGGUGGAUACAUAUUUGGACCUGGCUGCUCGGCUCCUCUGGGACCAUUCCUUCUCUCCCUUGACCUCAGGAGCAUCACUCAUGUCUUCACAUGACCUGUAACUCUUCCUGCUCCCCAGCUCGCCUGACAAGAGAGGUGGCUCGGACAGCUGGCUCUUUAAAUAUUAAUCAGGGGCUCAUUGAUAUGCAAAUAUGGUAAGAGGGAAUAAUGCUCCCGCAGCUGCGCAGCCCCGGUGGAGUGUUGGCCUCCUCUCCACUAUGAAUGGAAAUAUCUGAGGCCACAGGUGCAGGGAGCGACCGCGAGCAAGAUCCUGCUUAAUAAGGUAAUUUGUGAGCGAUGCUCUAUAGAGACGAACCGGAGCAAUCUUUUACCACUUGACAGUAUCUGACCACUAAACAAGGUGUUAAUCUUAUAAUUGUGGUGGGGACUGUUCCCUAGCACAGCGUUCCUGGCCUUUUGCCCUGACACUUGGCCAGUUAAAAUCAACUUAACUGACAGGUCGGAUGCGCGCCAACCGAUCAGCGAUAAAUUAUUUAUUGUUCUAUUUCCAGAAUAACAAGUAAACAGGAAAGACGGGGCAUCCCACAGAGAGAAAACCAGUUGGAAAGGCAUCAUUUGACUGAGUCACGUUGCCCCAUGCAGCCACCCCGUCCCUGGUCCCCACGGUCCCCUGGCUCUCACCUCUUUCUGCUGGGACGGUGACUGCAUCCCAUCUUGCAGGAGCAAAGAUGUCUCCACUGAUGGCUCUGGUGGUGUCACCCGUGUCCAGGGACCUGCAGGUGGGGUUUUGGGGUCAGCCCCUGUGCCUCGUGCAGCUCCCGAUUCCCACUCUCCUCUCCGGUGAACUGCGGGCCAAGAAGAGAUACCAGAGGCAAGGUCAGAGCUGCUGUGGACAUCACCCGUGGGUGGCUGCUGGCUCCCCCUGCCAGAGCGAGUGACGGCUGGGGAGGUGCGUCAUGUUGAGGGUGGAAAAUAUGAGCUCCCUAGCCCAGGGACCUCAGCCCAUAGCUGUGUCCUUGCUCUGGGGCCAUCCACGCUGCUGUGGUGGCCCUGGUUGGACCCUCAGCUGCUGCAGGAGACAAUGGGUCAGAGCUUUCAGCAGCAUUGCCCAUAACCAGAGGCAGUGGAGCCAGACACCCAUAAGUACCCGUAGGUCUCAGCUCACACAUUUUGCUCCCUCCUGCCCUUUGCUGUUAGCACAGAUGGGUCUACAGAGCAGGGAAAGAUUGUAAGGAAGGGCGUCCUUGAGGUCACCAAGCAAAACACACUCCACAACCACCCAACACAACCCAAUGUGCUGCAUUGCUGAUUUAAGCACUCGUAGCCCCUCGCUGUGCUUCUGGGGAAGGGCUCCCCGAGCUGGCCCCGGAGCAUGGCUCAUUUCUCCCACUGACAGGCAGGAGCAGCUUGAUGGAGGCACACUGGGCUCCAUCCCAUGCGGGACAUGACGGCCGCAUCCUGCCCUUCUGUAACAGCAGGAGGAAACAAGCUCCGAGGCUGCAGAUACAACACCCGCUGUGGCAGAGUAUUUUUAAGAUUUGCCUCCUGUGGUUACCAUCCUCCUCCUCCCUGCCAAGCUUCCUCGCCUGGGCUCCCGGUGAUGAAUGACCUCCCCGGGUACCGCUGGUACCAGGCACAGGCAGCUGCAAUGAGGUUUUUUUCCCGGGCGGGCGCUGCAGAUGGCAGCUCCGAGCCCACAGCUGCGCGCUCCUCCGUGCCACAAAGGGACAGAAAAUGUAAUUAAUUAAAGGAGUGAGCAGGAAGGGGUGUUGGGAUGUCUUAAGGAGACGACCAAGCCAACCACGGCUGCUCCGGCUCCGCUGGGUAAGCGCUCAAUCGGCAGAGGGUCUCGGAGCAAGGGUUGUCCGCACAGUGUGGCCAUUCCCAAAGGAGCUGAAGGUCUUUCUGGAGACAGGGAGAAGCCCAACUCCUCAUUCUUGUCUUCUGACUCAAUUUCUGGGUUUGCCAUUGUUGGUUCUCGGCCUCCAGGUCCCACUGAAGGGGCAAAGCUCAGCUCCUGCUGCGCUGCCCGGCAGGGAUGUGGUGGCUAAAACCCGUGUAUGUAUGUGGGUGCUACAACUGUUGUAGGUGCAGGUGGCAUCUCCCCUCGGCUUAGGAACAAUCACAAUCAUCUCAGAGCCUGAAGUCAUAGGAAUUCAGUUGCCUUUGAAUUUGUUUAAAGUUCUGCAAAACAUUUCUUAGUCUGUAUAAAAGUUACUUUACUCCAGGAGAUCAGAACAAUUCUACAGGCCUUUUGUUUCCAAAGUGUAUUUAUCUGCCUUAGUAUCUCAACACUUGCAUUAUUAUUAAUAAUUAAUGAUAAAUUACUACUAAUUAUUAUUUUAUAUACAAGGGAUUUGCCUCUUUCAACACUUCAUUGGGAUCAAAACCAGAUCUAUAACCUGGGGUGCGGAGAUCCCACUUUCCCACUUCUCAGCACCUCAGGGCAGCAGCUGGCCCUUGAACUCAGCCCAGGAGACAAAGAUGAAUUUCCUAAUUAAAAGUACCAGCCCUAGGGCAGCACCCGGGGCUGCUCACUCCGCACUAUUUGCUACAUUCCUCCUAUUCUCUGCCGCUGUCUUAGAAGCAUAAAACCUUGAUCCGAGUUGACGAGCAGCAGGGACGCACCAUGGGCCUCAGCUGAAAUAAUCCCGAAAGGCUCAAACCCCAUGAAUCCAGAGCUGCUCCGGGAGGAUGGAGUUUGCGCCGUGCCGAGCGCCGGAGGAGGAUGCGGCGCUGCCGACACCGUCGCUGCCGGGACCACGCGCCGGCACAGCUGCCGCAGAGGUAUCUCCUUACCCUGGACCUUGUUAAUGAACAAAAGCUUAGCAGAGUGUAGGCGGCUGGGCUAGACAGAGAAUAAACAGGGGAUUAGCAGCACGUAGCCCCCGAGUGAGGAUCGGGCUCUUUUUUCCCUGCACUUGAAACCCAACUCCUCCCGCACCAGCCGGGAGCGUUUCUUCCCCUCCUGACGCUGCAGCCGUUCAUUGUUAGCUGGGCAAAAUUAGCUUUUGCAAGAGUUUUUACUGCAGCUGGGCAGCUAGCCCUUGGGCUUCUAUUUUUUGUUCCUUUUUUUUGUGCACGUGGAAAACAAGAGGGCAAGCGAUGCCUUAGCCACGGCACAUCUCUCCAACUCUCCAAACUCUCCGACAUUGCUCAAGCAAACUCACGCACCUCAACCUGCCUGCAACCAUGGCAUGGCCUGGUGGUAUGUGACCUGGAAAAAGGGAAAAAAUAAAUAAAGAAAACAAACCAAAACCAAAUUCCCAUCUCACCCCCCCAGGCCUGUACACAGGGAGCUGCGGGGUGAUGGCACAGAGCAAUAAACUGAUUGUUCCUGGCCUGGCCGGCACGGACUGAGGUGCCGCCAGCCCAGCGGUGAUGUA